rnacentral:rRNA from 1 species
CCUACGGGAGGCAGCAGUAAGGAAUAUUGGACAAUGGCCGCAAGGCUGAUCCAGCCAUGCCGCGUGCAGGAAGACGGACCUAUGGUUUGUAAACUGCUUUUGAACUAGAGAAAACCCCUUUACGUGUAAAGGGCUGAUAGUAUAGUUAGAAUAAGCAUCGGCUAACUUCGUGCCAGCAGCCGCGGUAAGACGAAGGAUGCAAGCGUUAUCCGGAUUCAUUGGGUUUAAAGGGAGCGUAGGCGGAUUUGUAAGUCAGUGGUGAAAUCUCUUCGCUUAACGAAGAAACUGCCAUUGAUACUGCAGAUCUAGAGUACAGUUGCCGUUGGCGGAAUAUGACAUGUAGUGGUGAAAUACUUAGAUAUGUCAUAGAACACCGAUUGCGAAGGCAGCUAACGAAGCUGUAACUGACGCUGAGGCUCGAAAGUGCGGGGAUCAAACAGGAUUAGAUACCCUGGUAGUCCGCACUGUAAACGAUGAUUACUCGUUGCUGGAAGGUAACUUUCAGUGACCAAGCGAAAGCGAUAAGUAAUCCACCUGGGGAGUACGCCGGCAACGGUGAAACUCAAAGGAAUUGACGG